rnacentral:lncRNA from 1 species
UGGCUUUUGAGAGCCUGAUUGAGCUCGACAGAGAUACGCUGCAUACUCGGUUGGAUAGCUCCCACGAGUGCCACUCCAGAGACGGGCGCUGUGCUUUCGCGUUGGUGUCGCUCAUGCCGGUUGGACUUGCUCUCCACGGACUAGUAGUGUGGAGGUAGCUGGAUAGUCACAACUGGGCAGGAACGGGUGUGUUCACAGUCCCAGGGACGGGUAUGCCUACAGUCCCGAUUGGAUUGGGUCAAAUUUGACAUUUCCUACGGUUGGUUAGUGUAGAGCAUGAUAGUGUAGUGAUCCAUAGCGGUAGAUUUUACUCUUGCAUUUACUAUUAUCUUUGCUCCCUUCUGUAGACUUAGUGGGUUGACCGAUGUUGUUGAGGGCGGCACCCACUGAGGACUACCUGUUUUUAUAGUAGUUCUCACGCCCUGUUGUUACCCCCUGUUUUUGCAGAGCCAUCGUCGUCGGCUGCUGCUGUCGCAGAUCAGGAUCGAGGCAAGGGUGUCACGAGUUAGAGCCCUACCAGACGUGCCGAGCUAGAGGUGCCCCUACUGUAGGUA